UACGUAGGGGGCUAGCGUUGUCCGGAAUCAUUGGGCGUAAAGAGCGCGUAGGCGGCCAGAUAAGUCCGGUGUGAAAGUCAAAGGCUCAACCUUUGAAUGCCGCUGGAAACUGUCUGGCUAGAGUCCGGGAGGGGCGAGUGGAAUUCCUGGUGUAGCGGUGAAAUGCGCAGAUAUCAGGAGGAGCACCGGUGGCGAAGGCGGGUCUCUGGGCAGUAACUGACGCUGAGGAGCGAAAGCGUGGGGAGCGAACAGG
rnacentral:rRNA from 1 species